AUUGAACGCUGGCGGCAGGCUUAACACAUGCAAGUCGAGCGAGCGGCGGACGGGUGAGUAAUGUCUGGGAACCUGCCUGAUGGAGGGGGAUAAGUACUGGAAACGGUAGCAACUACCGCAUACAGUCAGAUGUGCCCAGGUGGGAUUAGCUAGUGGGUGGGGUAAAGGCUCACCAAGGCGACGAUCCCUAGCUGGUCUGAGAGGAUGACCAGCCACACUGGGACUGAGACACGGUCCAGACUCCUACGGGAGGCAGCAGUGGGGAAUCUUGGACAAUGGACGAAAGUCUGAUCGAGCAAUGCCGCGUGUGUGAAGAAGGUCUUCGGGUUGUAAAGCACUUUCAGCGAGGAGGCGGUACUCGCCGAAGAAGCACCGGCUAACUCCGUGCCAGCAGCCGCGGUAAUUC
rnacentral:rRNA from 1 species